ACUCCUACGGGAGGCAGCAGUGGGAAUAUUGCACAAUGGGGAAAGCCCAUCGAUGCAGCCAUGCCGCGCUGUGUGAAGAAGGCCAAUUCGGGCUUUGGUUAAAGACACUUUCAGUAGGGAGGAAGGUAGUGUAGUUAACACCUGCAUUAUUUGACGUUACCUACAGAAGAAGCACCGGCUAACUCCGUGCCAGCAGCCGCGGUAAUACGGAGGGUGCGAGCGUUAAUCGGAAUUACUGGGCGUAAAGCGCAUGCAGGCGGCCUGUUAAGUCAGAUGUGAAAGCCCGGGCUUAAGCCUCGGAAUUGCAUUUGAAACUGGCAGGCUAGAGUCUUGUAGAGGGGGUGAGAAUUG
rnacentral:rRNA from 1 species